GGCAGAGACAAAGAACUUGACCAGACAAAAAAAGAAAUCAAAAGAUUGGAAAAAGAAAACUCUGAAUUAUUAACACGAAUUGAAAACUUAGAUAAAUAUGUUGGUGACUUACCAACCUCGGAAGAUUACAAAAAACUUCGUAAAGAACAGAAACAUUGGAAACAUCUUUGCUCAAAGUUGCAAACACAAAUGGCAGAACAAGAAGAAAGGUUGACUUCAGGAAAGAAAGAUCUUGAAGAAAAGGCUUUGAAUGCAGACAGAUUUGAAAUGGAAAAAUAUAGAUUAGACG